rfam:Dendroctonus ponderosae Seq01037727, whole genome shotgun sequence.
AAAACGGUUCUUUUCAGAACCACAAAAUGAUACAAGUUGAGAAUUA